AUUGAACGCUGGCGGCAGGCCUAACACAUGCAAGUCGAGCGAGCGGCGGACGGGUGAGUAAUGUCUGGGAAACUGCCUGAUGGAGAGGGAUAACUACUGGAAACGGUAGCUAAUACCCCAUACAAUCAGACGUGCCCAGAUGGGAUUAGCUAGUAGGUGGGGUAACGGCCCACCCAGGCGACGAUCCCUAGCUGGUCUGAGAGGAUGACCAGCCACACUGGAACUGAGACACGGUCCAGACUCCUACGGGAGGCAGCAGUGGGGAAUAUUGCACAAUGGGCGCAAGCCUGAUGCAGCCAUGCCGCGUGUGUGAAGAAGGCCUUCGGGUUGUAAAGCACUUUCAGCGGGGAGGCGUUACCCGCAGAAGAAGCACCGGCUAACUCCGUGCCAGCCGCCGCGGUAAUAC
rnacentral:rRNA from 1 species